GCCAGGCAUGGUGGUGCAUGCCUGUAAUCCCAGCUACUCAGGAGGCUGAGGUGGGAGGAUUGCCUGAGCCCAGGACGUCAAGGCUGCCAUGAGCCAUGAUCACGCCACGGCACUCCAGCCUGGGUGACAGGGCAAGGCCCUGUCUCAA
rnacentral:SRP_RNA from 1 species